ACAAUAGGCUCCUAAAAAUGUUUGUCACUUCAGGCUGUGUGAAAGUCUAGCUACCAAUCUACGCCGCCCCAUCUUUCCUCAUGCUUACUACCUAGUUCCCAGAACCUUCCAUUUUUCUCCCCUAUUUCCAUUCCAGUGCCAGUUUACCCCGGUAUUAUUUUGGAUCUCUAGUACACCUCCUCCUCCCACCAUGUCCCCAUCCCCUAAGCACCUGCCACUUCCUCCAGUGACAAUGCAUUUGUGAACAUCUGCUGAUGAGUUCCCCAGUUGCCCCUUAGCUCCUCCUGAUUCACCUCUCUUUAAAUCCUUAUUCUCUGGUAUACAGACUUUUCCACCGAGGGAAGCCACUUAACUCUAACAUUCCUGUUCCCUAUUGGCUGCUGUUCCUCUAGUCUCAAUCUUCGAAAGGGUGUUUUCUGUCUUUGCAUGUUGUUUCUCUUCUUCAUCCUCCAUUUCCCAUUCAUUUACUGCGCAGCUUGGAAAGGGAGAGUCCUCCUUUACUCCUCCAGGGCACUUGGUGGUUUAGCACAAUAUGGGCAGGGAUCAGUGCCACUUCUUGGUUGCCACUCCUCGUGCUUCCUUGGCUCCAUAAGGCAUGAUUUCCAUGUUUGCUGCCUGAUUCCCACACAGCACCAGAGGCUGAAGGAGUAGUGAGGUAGGCUGGGGCUUUGGGGGAACCUCCUAGUAGUUUUUCUGCAACUUAGUAUCAAGACAACUGGGAAGUGCUUCCUGCAGCACAGGGAAAGUGGCUCUGGUACAUCUUGGGGGACCCAGACACACAUCUACUGACUCUCUACCUUCUGCGUCUUCACUUUUUACUUAACCUCUCCUGUUCAGCUUUUUAAACCAUGCCUUACCCACAGAGCUGCGACCCAUCUCCUCUGCUCAAUGCUCCAGGAGGGCAGAGGUGAAAUUAUCUUUGUAUCAGUUUCAUUCUGUCCCUACUUGAACCUGGCCCUACAAGUAGAAUUUUUCAGAGACUCCUGCAAGUCCAUACAAGCCCUUCCGGCCCACCAGUUCUAUGGAGAACAAGGAAGGAAUGUGCCAACCAAACCUAUAUGCAUGAAAGAGAAAAGAUAAUAUGGGGAACAAUUUUGUGUUGACAGUGGGGAGGUUGACUAGAUGACUGUGCCACUGUCGUAACAGUUAUAUGCAGAUGUAUGUAUGCAAUAUCAAAUUAUUUUUGUGCAAUAAUUUAAAGAAUGCUUGGUUUUUUUGUGAUGCAGAGGCCCGUUGAUGCCAGCAGCCAAAGGAUCAUCACUCUGUGAUAGUAACUCCUACCAGGCCUGACAAACUCAUUACACCUAACACAUUGCUUUCAUGGCAUUUAUCCAUAAAUAGUGUCUCAUAAGGUAUCAAAAGAAAGCCUGUUCACUCUGAACAUUAAUAUCGUUGUGAAAAGUAUGUACUAGUGAUAUUUUUUUUAAAUUGUGUGUAUACUGAAAAUAUAUCCUAAGAGUCUGUGUCAAGGUAUAAGUCACUAGCUGAGAUAGGAUUUCUGCCAGAAAACCUAUGUUUAUUCACCUGUCCCUAUCUCUGAUGUAUAACAGGUGUUAACCUGCAAGGCAAAUAGGAGCCAGACGAGUCCUGGGUAGAUUGUUUAGAUGGCUAACAUACUGUGGCACUCAGGGAGCUGACACACUGUUUAGCACCAGCAACUCUCUCCCUUCUGAGGUGCCUGUUACCCCCGUCCCAAUUUUUCACACUUGCUAUCUGGUCACCCUAUCUACAUGUGAUGUGAUCUGCAAUCCUGACUCUGUCAUUUAACAAAUGGUGGGUGAAGAAAGUCAACUGAGUGAUUGUCAAAGGCAAUUCUCAUUUGUAGAUCAUCACACAAGGAGAAGUCUCUGCUGGGGCUCUUCAAACUGUGGUUUAAUCUUGUGAUUAAUGUGAACAAUUAAAUAAAACCCUGUCUUUUGACUUAGAGGAAACAAAAUAAAUAGAAGGGCUGAAACAUUUUGGAA